rnacentral:lncRNA from 1 species
AUCAAUUGGUUUCCAGCUCAAGUAGUUCAGUGAGUAACAGCUUUAAUAAAUAAUGUCAGGCCAGGUGGUGGUAGCACAAACCCUUAAUCCCAGCACUCUGGAGGCAGAGGCAGGUAUAUUUCUGUGAGUUCGAGGCCAGCCUGGUCUACAAAGCUACACAGAGAAAUCUGUCUUCAAAAAAAUUAAAAUUAAAUUAAAUUAAAAUAAAAAUGAUGUCGGAACAACUUAAUGCCCAUGUUGGAGAGCAAAAUGUCAUUAAUUUGAGGCUGUGGGUUUAAAGUGGUAUAGUGCUUGCCUGGCAUGUACAAGGUGCUGAGUGUGAUCCCUAGCAACACCCAAAAGUUAAUUUGAUGUGUGUCAAAGACCAAACCUUAAAAUUUAGUAAUAAAGUACUUUAAGGAGAAAGGAGAAGGUGAUACGUUGAUAUGCAAAGGGUAUGCUAAACAGCACCUAGGAAAAUAUGUAUGAAAAAUGGAGCUGAAUUUGGAAGUCUGCGUGAAAUACUGGAACCCUCGCCCUGUCCCCCCCUCCCUCUCUACGCCAUCCCCUCACAGACCUUGCUGGGAUGAGGGGAAUUCACAGUAACUUGGUCCAGGUGUUGACUUUCAAAACCCAUUUUAUUCUAAGAUGCUUUAAUACUUUUGUUACUAUGCAGCUAUGAAAAGGGGGAACUCUGCUAGCUGCAGACGGUAAGUUUGAAGACGGUGAGUUUGAAGACGUUCAUUCCUAUUUGAUGCAAAAUAUCUUCUGUGAUGCUAGAAACAGCGGCUGUGAGAGCACGGCCAGCCCUAGUGUAAGGCUGCUCUGCUUGCUUGCUAUUGUAGGUGGCUCAGGGGAGGACGGGAGUGUUGUCGCCCAGCUCUGCUUGUUUGCUAUUGUAGGUGGCGCAGGGGAGGACGGGAAUGUUGUCGCCCUGCCCAGAGCUUGGAGCAAAAGAUCGCCGGGCAGAGGGACGAUAGUGCCGUGACUCGGAUUCGAACCGAGGUUGCUGCGGCCACAACGCAGAGUACUAACCACUAUACGAUCACGGCGAGCCACACACCGAACGGCACAUGUGUCGUCAGCGCUCGCACAAUUGACUGAGCCUCAGUUCCGCCCGGUCCUGAUCCCGACGUCUGCUUCUGCUGGGAUGCCUGCACCGUAACCCAGCCACCGGCUGCUCUUCUUGAAGCGGGCGGGGCACCAAUGGAUCUGCUGCUAGUUUGCGACACCUCUGAGAAGCCUGUGACGCAGAAAGCCGUGGCUGCAGAUAGCACCAAGCUAGAGACUUCCUCCUGCUCGGAUGAGAGGGACACCAGCACCAAUGAGAGCAAACCGUGAGGGAAAGUCCCGUGCCCACUGGGUGUGAAUGUUUGCAUCAAAGUCCUGAUGAUGAUCAACCCAGACUUUGGGAUGUGUCUCUCCAGUGACAG